UUUUGAGAGAGGACUUUGGACUAGAAGAUAUGUCUGAGAAUAAGGACAAUAAAGUAGACACAAAUGGUGCCUCUGAUUGACCAUCCUGCUUGUUAACAUCUUUCACCACACAGCAAUGAACAUGGAGAAAGGAAGAAGGAGCAGAUGGUUUGGUCUGUGGAGAAAGUAGUUACCCAUUUUUCCCCUUCAUUGCUUUCUGAUCUCUCUUGUCUGCCACACCUGGCACAGGUGAAGAGAAAGAAGCCUUAGCAAGCUACCAAGAAGGUAGAGGAAGACUUUAUCCUCAGACAGCCUGUGAGCCCCGUGGCCUAUAGUAACUCUGGAAUAGAGGGUAGGUGCUCACUGAGGCUGGAGUGAGAGGGGGUACAGACUGUUAUUGGCUAGCAGUCUGUAGGAGGGUAGGCCCUGAGCCGUCACUAUGCAAGUGGCCUCUGGAGUGGGACUCUAAGGUCCUGAGUCAUUAGAAGUCUCGUCUUCAGGGAGGUACUGGCCUGAUGCUCCUCACACCUGACCUAAGGAGUCUUCCAUUCAACAGCUCCAUGUGAAUGGCCUUCAGAGCCCCACCGUCCAGGAAGGAGCCCAUUGAAAAGAAGCAAAAUGAAAUGGCAAGGACACUGAAUGGCUGAGUGGCAAUGCCAAGGUUUUGGCUGAAGUCUGUCUGGUUCUAAACCCUUUGAAAUCCAGCUCUGCAAAGCAGGGCACUGUUGGAACUAUUAAGACUUUUUAUAAGAAGGUAGGUAAUAGGGCG
rnacentral:lncRNA from 1 species